rnacentral:rRNA from 1 species
UACGUAGGCAGCAAACGUUGUUCGGAAUUACUGGGCGUAAAGCGAGUGUAGGCGGUCUGCUAAGUCGGGUGUGAAAGCCCUGGGCUCAACCCAGGAAGUGCACUCGAAACUGGCGGGCUAGAGGAUCGGAGAGGUUGGUGGAAUUCUCGGUGUAGAGGUGAAAUUCGUAGAUAUCGAGAGGAACACCGGUGGCGAAGGCGGCCAACUGGACGAAUACUGACGCUGAGACUCGAAAGCGUGGGGAGCAAACAGG